rnacentral:rRNA from 1 species
CCUACGGGAGGCAGCAGUGAGGAAUAUUGGUCAAUGGGCGGGAGCCUGAACCAGCCAAGUCGCGUGAGGGAAGACGGUCCUACGGAUUGUAAACCUCUUUUGCCGGGGAGCAACGGGGUCCUUGCGAGGGCCCAAUGAGAGUACCCGGAGAAAAAGCAUCGGCUAACUCCGUGCCAGCAGCCGCGGUAAUACGGAGGAUGCGAGCGUUAUCCGGAUUUAUUGGGUUUAAAGGGUGCGUAGGCGGGCUGUUAAGUCAGCGGUCAAAUGUCGGUGCUCAACACCGGCCUGCCGUUGAAACUGGUCUUCUUGAGUGAGCGAGAAGUAUGCGGAAUGCGUGGUGUAGCGGUGAAAUGCAUAGAUAUCACGCAGAACUCCGAUUGCGAAGGCAGCAUACCGGCGCUCAACUGACGCUGAGGCACGAAAGCGUGGGGAUCGAACAGGAUUAGAUACCCUAGUAGUC